rnacentral:lncRNA from 1 species
CGCUCUUUCUGACGCUACCCACCCUCACUCUAGUGGCGUAAAAUAAGUCUCAGUCAGGGACCACGUUUUGGACGCGCUGUUGGAAUUGUAAAGCUUGCCGAAGCUGCACGCCUGCGCGGUUAGACCUCCCACGCCUUUGUUGACGCUUCCAGUUUGGAAGCCAGAUUUACACCCCUGCCUUUCUCCGCUCCUCCUGCUGGGCGCCAUCUUGUCUUCUCCUAGCACACUUUGUAUUGUUCGAAGUUGAGAGAGAAGGAGCCGGAGUCUCCGAGGUGGCGUUGGGUGGGGGCGCUACUAGCUCCCGUUCUCUCAGCGUCUCUAGAGGGAAGGGCGCCGGUGGGAGCAGGAGAGUCUGCACCGGGCAGGCCUCCUUAGGUGCCGGGUUGCGCGCAGGGCCCUGUGCUUGUCUCGCCUCCGGUUGGCUCAGGCCUCGGAGCAUGAGUGCGCCGGCAACUGCUGGGCCCGGGACAGUGAAGCAGAGGAGGAGGUGGGGGAGGCGAGCCCAGGUCGGGGAAGGGCAGCACCUGAAUCACCCUUGGGGCCCAGACCCCCAAGAGUCUCCGGGGAGCCGAGGCCUGGCGAGGCAGUCCCGGGAUUCGCCCCCUCCCCGCUGGCCCGAGGGCGCACCACGUGCUGGGCAGAGACUUCGGCGAGGCCGAGUGGACCCUGCAGCGCUGCUUGGGAAAGGGCACCUUGGACUACCUGGUGGGGGCGUUGUGCUUCGUUACCGACCGCCGGGACGCCAACCCACGGUGCCCACCCGUGCGUCAUUCCGCUGUGGAUCAGCCCUUUGGCGGCCCCCCUCCAAAGUCUACAAGGUCACACGGAUGUCUGCAGGCAGAGGUGGGGCUGCUGGGGCCCUGCCAGCAGCUGCUUCCGGCUCCCUGAGACCCAGCCAUGGAAGGCAUAGAAAGGCAUGUGACAAGAAACUCAUGGCUUUUAAUCCUGGCAGGACAAGGAAAACCCCGUCAAAGAUUUGCAUAAAUUUUGCUGCUCUCCUGCUGGGGGGGGGGGGGGGGCAGUUCGUCACAUUUAAUAAAAUUCUCUCCCUCCCUUCU